GGAUUAUUCGGCAGGUCGCCCGGUGUCAGUAUUACAGCGUGGAUGAUCCGGAGAAACCGUUUGACGGAAAUUCGGAAAAUUGAAUGUUCAUGGUGUGACAGUGUGCUAGUGCGCCCACACAAGCAGAUCAUGUUACGUCUGGACUGCAGGAUUCAGAAAGAGCCCUUUCUACUUAAAUAUCUUCAGUAUCUUCACUGACAGAGAUAUUCUACACUCUUUGCAAUGUCAGUCCAUUUUAAUUUAAAGGAUUGCGCAUAUUGAUUUCAAAAGGGGUGUGCUGGAACUUGGAAAACGUAGCCGGUUUCAUCUGCUGCGUAAUGCAUAUGAUGCGGCAUCCUCAUUUACCGGAGUUGUGCGUAAGUUUCGCGCACCGGAGUAAGUUUAUGCGUACCGGAGUUGUGCUGGUUAAGGGCCAAAACGCGAGAGGCUGUGCGUCGGAAGUGUUUCUGGUCGUUCCUUUAAAUUCUGUAGUCUGUAAACUCCGACGACCAAACCUUUAGCGCCGAGUUUCAAGUUCAAC